UACAGAGGGUGCGAGCGUUAAUCGGAAUUACUGGGCGUAAAGCGCACGUAGGCGGCUUGGUAUGUCGGGUGUGAAAUCCCCGGGCUCAACCUGGGAACUGCAUCCGGAACUGCCUUGCUAGAGUAUGGGAGAGGGAAGUGGAAUUUCCGGUGUAGCGGUGAAAUGCGUAGAUAUCGGAAGGAACAUCAGUGGCGAAGGCAGCUCGCUGGGACGUUACUGACGCUGAGACGCGAAAGCGUGGGGAGCAAACAGG
rnacentral:rRNA from 1 species